UUUAUGCGGCAGCAUAUAACUGAACUGUGGGAGGACUCAUAUGAUUCUACCCCUCUUCAUUUUUAUGCUGCUUCGGAG
rfam:Haemonchus contortus, ISE/inbred ISE, WGS project CAVP01000000 data, contig: Hcontortus_28670